rnacentral:rRNA from 1 species
GAUGAACGCUGGCGGCGUGCCUAAUACAUGCAAGUCGAGCGAACAGAUAAGGAGCUUGCUCCUUUGACGUUAGCGGCGGACGGGUGAGUAACACGUGGGUAACCUACCUAUAAGACUGGGAUAACUUCGGGAAACCGGAGCUAAUACCGGAUAACAUUUGGAACCGCAUGGUUCUAAAGUGAAAGAUGGUUUUGCUAUCACUUAUAGAUGGACCCGCGCCGUAUUAGCUAGUUGGUAAGGUAACGGCUUACCAAGGCGACGAUACGUAGCCGACCUGAGAGGGUGAUCGGCCACACUGGAACUGAGACACGGUCCAGACUCCUACGGGAGGCAGCAGUAGGGAAUCUUCCGCAAUGGGCGAAAGCCUGACGGAGCAACGCCGCGUGAGUGAUGAAGGGUUUCGGCUCGUAAAACUCUGUUAUUAGGGAAGAACAAAUGUGUAAGUAACUGUGCACGUCCUGACGGUACCUAACCAGAAAGCCACGGCUAACUACGUG